rnacentral:sRNA from 1 species
GCCAACUGCGGAUUGACAGGAUUGUUCCCUGGCAACCCGCCUGUGCAGAGCUAGAGCGUUUCAGUUUUCACUGAAACGCUCUAGGAC